rnacentral:lncRNA from 1 species
CGUUACUGAAGCGACACAAGGUGAUCAAGUUCACGCAUACAGAUUCAAGGCUUGCUAAUAACGACCUUCCAAACUCCAUUUAAAGGCUAAGGUGCCGAGCCAAUUACGAGGAUCUCCGGUAUGCGAAAGAGAUAUAGGAUCUCUGAAGGACUUUAGUUGAUAGACUAAAGAGCAAUAAUAACCAAUAUAUUGCUUAAUAAUUGAUUACAAUUAUAUAUUUAAUUUGAUGUAUUUAAUGAUAAAGAAAUCAUUGCAAAAUAUGCAAAAAUAGUAUAAAAUAUAAAUUUAAUAGCUAUAAAAUGAAUUCAAUUGAACAAUGAAAAGACAAUAAAUUCUAAAAUGUAUGUUUAUUUCAUUUAAAACAUUUUUUAUGAAAUAUUUUUAAAAAUCUGCCAAACAAUAGAAAUUUUUUUAUACAAAUUUAUCCAAACACCAAAAAAUAUUAAAUUUUCAAGAAAAAUAAAUUAUUUUCCAAAAAUCAAUUCCCAAAAACCAUUUUCAAUCAAACAAAUAAUCACCAAUUUAAUUCCUACUAAUACUUAAAUUUUAAUAUUCAUUGCUCUAUUUCUAACAUAAAGAAAAUGUUACUAAAAUAUGACAAAACUUUGUUUAUAAAACCAAUAAUAAAUUAAUAAAUAUUGAAACCAUUAAAUGUUGCAGAAGUUAUAUUAAUAUCAUUCAAUUGUAAAUUUUUUUAAAAAUAAAACAAAUAUUUUAAGAAUUAAUAAGAAAUUACCAACAUCAUUCUUUUAGAGUUAAUCCUAUUAUGUAAGCUAUUAUUCAUAAAAUUUAUUUUUAUAUGAAUUUCUUUUAAUCUAGGAUAAAUGAAGAAAAAAAAAUCAUAAAAUUGCAAUAAGGAAACAACUUUUACUUUAAAAAAAAAAAGAAUGGCCCAAGAUAAGGCCCAAACAAGGUGUCCAAAUUUGAGCACUCGUGGCAUUCUUUUGUAGGGUAAACUACAAAAAUAGUUACUUAUGUUUGAAAUUUUAAGUUUUAAUCACUUAUGUUAUUAUUUUGUUACGAAGUGAUCACUCUUCCGUUAAGUUCCGUUAUCUCCCUAACGGUAAUCCUACGUGGCAGUCCAACUAGAUUUUAAGUGCCAACUUGGAUUUCCUAAUGAGAUGAGAAUAGAUUUUUUAUUAAAUAAAUUUAAUUAAUUAAAAAUUUUAAACCCUAGAUCUUAGUUAAAUAACCGUUCAUCUCCCCCUUUUUUUAAUUUUCUUUUUCAAUUGACUAAAAAAGCUAUUAUCAUCAAAUUUUUUUUAUUCACAUACGAAAACAAAAGAGGAUUCAAUGGAGGGUCCAUGUAUGUCUUCUUCACCGAAAAAAUUAUGUUCUAAAACUUAAAAUGAAGUGGUUGUCAACAAAUAAGAAGAUGGUAAUCAUUUUUGUUCCUAAUCAUUGUAUUUUUCCAAUUCUUCACGUUCUUGAAUAAUUAGUUUCUCAAUUCGAUUUUUUCUGAUCUAAAUCGGCUUGUUUGUUCACAAACCCUUUGUGGGUAUCCUUUCUUUUUAUCUAAAAUUCUUUUAGUUGUUAAUAUUCAUAUCAAGAAUUUUAAUUUAGGGUUUUCAUUAAACAAUAAAAAAUCCAAUCUUUGUUUUUCAGUAUUGAAUAAAAGAGAUAGAGGAAUGCAAAGAAGACAUACCUGAACCCUCCAUUGAAUCCAUCCUUAUGAAGCAGUCAAUUUGAUUUCAACUAUUUUGAUUUUAAUAAUAAUUUUAACAAUCAAAUGAAAAAAAAACCAUUGAGAAAAAGAAGAGACUGAAGAAAAAAUAAAAAGAGGAUAUGAACAGAUAUUUUAGUUAAGGUUUAGGUUUAAAAAUUUUAAUUAACUAAAUUUUUUAAUUAAAAAUCUAUUUUCAUCCCAUUUAGAAAUCUAAGUUGGCAUUUAAAAUCUAGUUGGACUGUCACGUAGGAUUACCGUUAGAGAGAUAAUGGAACUUAACGGUAGAGUGAUCACUUCGUAACAAAAUAGUAACAUAAGUGACUAAAACGUAACAUUUCAAACAUAAGUGACUAAAAUGUAACCUGAGGUAAACAAAAGUGACUAUUUUUGUAGAUUACCCUUCUUUAUAUUGAUGGUCUCCCUAAAAUAAUUUCUACUUCGCUGUAAAGAGGUAAUAUGCAUGUGUAUAGAUAUAUUUCAUUUGAGUUGAAUGUGGAUAUGUAUAGAUAAAUAUUAUGUAUGCAUGUACAUAAUGAUAUUCAUAUAACAUGUAUAUAUGUAUGUUGAGGUACUGUCAUGUUGUAUAUGUAGUAACCCAAUUUUACCUUAAAAAUUUUAGAAAACCCUAGCCACCCUACAUCUUUCAGCUGUCGCUCCUUGCCACGUUAGCAAGCACUUCUCCUGAAGACACUCAUGCUCUGAGGUCUAUCACUCUGCCAUCGUUUCACCGAAAUGGCUAAGGGCACACCUUCCCAUUGUCAUUAACAGCCAUGGUAGCAAAGGAGAAAGAAAAGCACAGAAACAAAAAGCAGAACAAAAACAAAAAGAAAAGAAAAAAACGAAAUAAUGUAAUGGCUAUAAAAGCCAAACUAUUGUAAGAUUCAAAAAUCAUCGAAUAAGAUACAUAAAUAACCAAGUUAAAAAAAAGUAGCAUUUUUAUAUCUUUUAUUUUCUAAGCAAAAAAAAAAAAGAGGAAAGAAAUUUUACUUGCAAAAUGUCGUAGCUGUUCUCGUCGUGAGUCCAUUUCCUCCGACUAGAGAAGCCUCAGAACCCCUUAGGGUUUCGUCGAAGGCCUCGUCGGAAAAGGGAGAAACCUUUUAGUUUCUUUUCCUUCAGCCAAGC